UCUUCUGACUUUUUGUCUUAUACCGCACUUGGUUCAUUUCCAUCUUGAUGUAUUAUUGAAGUUUUCGUGUAUUGGAUGAUAUUAAGAUCGUUGAGAGUACUUUUUGCUACUUGGAGUUUUGUUGGCGUGCACAUGCAGAUAAUAGCGUUCAAUGUGUCGAUGGUGGAGUAUGGAGAUUGUGCAGAAGCGAAUGAGUUGAAAUAUGGGAGUCCAAAUGUUGAUACAUUCAGUUAGGAAGAGAUCGACACUCACACAGCAGCUAAGACAAUGGAAACAUUUGAAGAACUAUGAGUCCUCAAAAUAUCACGCCGUCUACCAUUAUCAAUCGCAUAGUUGCAAUAUAACCGAAGUGUUUGUUUUAAUGCGAAACGAUUGGAUUUUAGGGUGAACACAGUGAUGGAUUGCAAGAGUCCACGACGUACAGAUGAUUGAAAGUUUUCGUGGUGAUUGUGGCUGCCUGUUUUUCAGAAGUGGAAUCAAAAAGCGAGAAACAACACCAGCAAUUGUUGGUGUGUUAACUGCGAUUAGAGUUAGCUUCUAUGCGUAGAGCCACGAUCUAGUGGCGACAUUGUUGCUCUCUAUGUGGAGUUGGUCUGAAAUGGCAGGAGUAAGCUAGUGAAUGUAUGAUUUGAUUUUUGUCAAACUGGUUUUUAGUCUCCGUAGUGGGCGAAUUCAAACUGACACCUGCAGAUCUCUGACACGGUGAUCAUGUAUCACAUUACACUCUGAUUUCUUGAUUUGCUGCAUCUCAUCUGAGAGCAAGUUGGAUACCUUUUUUUGCACUGCAUCGGUGUCCUGAGUGUAGCAGAAAUGCUGUUAGCAACUCAAGGUGUGCUUAUCCCCUUAGGUUAAGGACCGGAUUGCCUGACAAUCUGGUAUUUUGAUAGAGGCGAACCUCUUGCAGAAUGUGCUCGCUAUAGGACAGUUUAAGUGUUGGAACGACCCCUACCCAGCGAGUAGGUUUGAUCGUCUGAAAUGUUUAAAUUUAGAAGUCUCGGCUUCAUUGCAUUUAUCUCUUUGAAUCGUGCGCGACAAGAAGACGGAGACCUAUUGGCCAUGUUCGUUUUCGGACGUCAAUGAAGGACCAUUUUCAAUCGAAAAUCGGUUCAUACAUGAACAUACCCUUAGGGUUUCUGCACCUGUGAUGUGGAUCUCUGUCAGUUUAUUCCUCCAAGUCUUGAUUGGCAGUUAUCCGUUCGAAGUUGACUUUAGGCUACAUAGUAAUUUAAUGUUCGUGACCUUCAAUAGUUCCCGUCUUUAGUAGCCUCUGAAAACAUGUAAAUGCAUUCACAAUUUUGUGGCUGAAGUCAAAACCAUAACCUGGUGAGUGCCUACAUACGUUCUAGCAGUCACUGCUAAUCAAUAGAGCAACUAGAGAAGACCAAGCGAAACUACCAAAGCAGAUGACUUUAACAUUUCAAUUGAAGUGCCAAUUGUAAAGAGCCAUAACAAUUCAAAUAACUGUUAGCAGCUGUCCUCCAACGGCUCAAUUUCGGAACUAA